GCUGGGAUGGUUACAUGUCUAAUAAUAACAAUAAUAACCCGCGAUGUGUACCGUCAUGCAGAAACUGCCAGGGAUUCUGCGUCGCUCCUGGCAGAUGUGAGUGUCCAGAGCUAUUUGAACGCAAAUAUUUAACAGCGGACAACCAAGACUGCGACUGCUCGGAAGAUUGUGAUACAAAAUGCUUUAAAACCGCAUGUGUCCUCACCACUACUACAUCAACAGCUAUACCUCAAACAAUAAAAGCAAUCGAUCCCCCUAAUAAACUCGACAAUACAGGCAUUUCGGAAAUAUACGUUGUUGUCGAGCGAAUAUCAAAACCAGAUAAUUCGAGUGUUGAACCUAUAACAAUAGUUAAAUAUUACAACAUGAGCCAGGACCCUUGGCUAAUUAUUUUCAUAAUCACAACAAUCAUAAUGGUGGCUUUGAUUAUAUUGGUAUUUUGGGAAUAUCUAAGAAAGUGAGUUUUAAAGAAACAUGUUUAAAGGAUGCUAUCUAAUCCAAGACACAUCAUUUUCUAAAGUCUACGUUUCGGCAGUAUCAUGGGAUGCAAGCUGCCCGAACCCUCCAUGUAUUACUUUUUUGUUAUAUAUUGUACCUUGUCAUAAAUGUUUGUGUGCCUCCCAGUGUAUUGGGUAAAUAAAUGUUUCUUUCUUCUUCUUUUUCCAACACUACAUGCUUCUAUAGCAUACCAUCUGCCACAAAGAAAUUGAACUGCAAAUGCAGA
rnacentral:lncRNA from 1 species